GUGCUGUUUGUUUGGGUUUCCUUGAGCUAAUCUCAACCGAAAUCUGAGCGUGUCAUUAUCAGAGUUGAGCCGAGUUCGCUGUCAACAGGGCAUGUGCACUUCAGGAGGUCUUGAUUAGGUGGAAACUUGUCCAGGAAUGCCUAGCAGUUCUAAAGUGUAAGGUACUAUUCUAUUGAUUUUAAAUCAUAGAAUAUUCUGAGUUGGAAGGGACCCACUAGGAUCACCAACUCCUAGCUCUGCACAAAGCACAUCAUGUGCCUGAGGGCAUUGUCCAAAUGGUUUUUAAUUUUGGCAGGCUUGGUGCCAUGACAACUUUCCUAGGGAGCCUGAUCUCUGAGCUUUCCAAGGCAUUUCUUCCUGCAGACUGCCCAAACCAUAGUAGUUAGCUGCAAGUUGGCAGUUCAUGUACAGUGGAUUGCAUGCUAUAGAGCUCAGACUUUGUGGAAAGCUUUCUUUUGUGCUCAUUCCCAAGCUGGGUUUGUGAAGUCAUAUGAAUAGAAGACUCAUAUGCAAAUGGUAGUGUGAUAGCAUCUUAUUGUCGUGAAUUUGAUCUCUAAUAGUAUAUAAACAAAUAAGUCUCAUUGUUAGUACUUCUGGCUGGUUUUCUGAUGGAAUGUCUAAUUCUUCUGAUUUUUCUCAGGAUAAGAUAUUUUCCUGGAUUCCAGUAGGGAUAUUCUACCCGAGAGUUGUCCUGACCAUGUAUUCUCCAAGAAAUGCCAUGUUAUCUUAUGGAGUAGAAAAUUGUUUUUUACUCUAUUAUAUGAUUGCAAUAUAGGGUACACAGAAGUGUAGUUGCAACAAAGUCCCUUGUGAUCUUGUACCAGGUCUUCUUUUUGCUUGCUGGCAAAACCUGGGAUGCAGACUACACUGUUACAGCUAAGACACAACAUAAUAAAACUAAGAUUGUAUGACCUUGCCAUCGGGAACUCCUUCUUUCUCAGUGUGGGAAGUACUUAGUAGGAAUACUUAUACUAGGUGUAAGUAAUGUAUAUUCUAUUAUGAUUUUCAGAGACAUUGUAAGUCCUUCUAGGGGGACCUCUGUCUCUAUCAUAU